UACGGAGGGUGCGAGCGUUGUCCGGAAUCACUGGGCGUAAAGGGCGCGUAGGCGGCUUUUUAAGGGUGCGGUGAAAGCCCGGGGCUUAACCCCGGGUCGGCCGUGCCGACUGAAAAGCUGGAGCACUGUAGAGGCAGGUGGAAUUCCGGGUGUAGCGGUGGAGUGCGUAGAGAUCCGGAAGAACACCAGUGGCGAAGGCGGCCUGCUGGGCAGUUGCUGACGCUGAGGCGCGACAGCGUGGGAGCAAACAGG
rnacentral:rRNA from 1 species